rnacentral:rRNA from 1 species
AGGAGAUACUUGUAUCUUUUGAAGAGCGGCGAACGGGUGAGUAACGCGUGGGGAAUCUGCCAAUGAGUGGGGGACAACAUUUGGAAACGAAUGCUAAUACCGCAUAAAAUCUAUUGAGACAUCUCAAGAGAUUGAAAGGAACAAUUGUUUCGCUCGUUGAUGAUCCCGCGUUGUAUUAGCUAGUUGGUGAGGUAACGGCUCACCAAGGCGAUGAUACAUAGCCGACCUGAGAGGGUGAUCGGCCACAUUGGGACUGAGACACGGCCCAAACUCCUACGGGAGGCAGCAGUAGGGAAUCUUCGGCAAUGGACGAAAGUCUGACCGAGCAACGCCGCGUGAGUGAAGAAGGUUUUCGGAUCGUAAAGCUCUGUUGUUGUUAAAGAACGUUGAUGAGAGUGGAAAGUUCAUCAAGUGACGGUAAACAACCAGAAAGGGACGGCUAACUACGUGUCAGCAGCCGCGGUAAUACGUAGGUCCCGAGCGUUGUCCGGAUUUAUUGGGCGUAAAGCGAGCGCAGGUGGUUUCUUAAGUCUGGUGUCAAAGGCUACUGCUCAACAGUAGUGUGCAUUGGAAACUGGGAGACUUGAGUGCAGGAGAGGAGAGUGGAAUUCCAUGUGUAGCGGUGAAAUGCGUAGAUAUAUGGAGGAACACCGGAGGCGAAAGCGGCUCUCUGGCCUGUAACUGACACUGAGGCUCGAAAGCGUGGGGAGCAAA